AGUCCUGUAGCUCAACGGUAGAGCAAGCGUCUUACAAACGAGAGGUCGUAGGUUCGAUUCCUACCAGGACUA
rnacentral:tRNA from 1 species